rnacentral:rRNA from 1 species
AUUGAACGCUGGCGGCAUGCUUUACACAUGCAAGUCGAACGGCAGCACGGGUGCUUGCACCUGGUGGCGAGUGGCGGACGGGUGAGUAAUGCAUCGGAACGUGUCCUGAAGUGGGGGAUAACGCAUCGAAAGAUGUGCUAAUACCGCAUAUUCUCUGAGGAGGAAAGUAGGGGAUCGAAAGACCUUAUGCUUUUGGAGCGGCCGAUGUCUGAUUAGCUAGUUGGUAGGGUAAUGGCUUACCAAGGCGACGAUCAGUAGUUGGUCUGAGAGGACGGCCAGCCACACUGGGACUGAGACACGGCCCAGACUCCUACGGGAGGCAGCAGUGGGGAAUUUUGGACAAUGGGCGCAAGCCUGAUCCAGCAAUGCCGCGUGAGUGAAGAAGGCCUCGGUU